GGGCUGGGGCUCAGGGGUAGAGUGCUCGCCUAGCAUGUGUGAGGCCCUGGGUUCAAUUUUCAGCACCACA
rnacentral:tRNA from 1 species